GAUGAACGCUGGCGGCGUGCUUAACACAUGCAAGCCGAACGGUGAAGCAGGAGCUUGCUCUUGUGGAUCAGUGGCGAACGGGUGAGUAACACGUGAGCAACCUGCCCCUGACUCUGGGAUAAGCGCUGGAAACGGCGUCUAAUACUGGAUAUGUGAUGUGACCGCAUGGUCUGCAUCUGGAAAGAAUUUCGGUUGGGGAUGGGCUCGCGGCCUAUCAGCUUGUUGGUGAGGUAAUGGCUCACCAAGGCGUCGACGGGUAGCCGGCCUGAGAGGGUGACCGGCCACACGGGGACUGACACACGGCCCAGACUCCUACGGGAGGCAGCAGUGGGGAAUAUUGCACAAUGGGCGGAAGCCUGAUGCAGCAACGCCGCGUGAGGGAUGACGGCCUUCGGGUUGUAAACCUCUUUUAGCAGGGAAGAAGCGAAAGUGACGGUACCUGCAGAAAAAGCACCGGCUAACUACGUGCCAGCCGCCGCCGUAA
rnacentral:rRNA from 1 species